rnacentral:rRNA from 1 species
UACGGGGGGGGGCAAGCGUUGUUCGGAAUUACUGGGCGUAAAGGGCGCGUAGGCGGCCUUCUAAGUCGAACGUGAAAUCCCCGGGCUCAACCCGGGAACUGCGUCCGAUACUGGAAGGCUUGAAUCCGGGAGAGGGAUGUGGAAUUCCAGGUGUAGCGGUGAAAUGCGUAGAUAUCUGGAGGAACACCGGUGGCGAAGGCGGCAUCC